rnacentral:rRNA from 1 species
GACGAACGCUGGCGGCGUGCUUAACACAUGCAAGUCGAGCGGUAAGGCCCUUUCGGGGGCACACGAGCGGCGAACGGGUGAGUAACACGUGGGUGACCUGCCCUCAGCUCUGGGAUAAGCCUGGGAAACCGGGUCUAAUACUGGAUAUGACUCCAUGACGCAUGUUGUGGGGUGGAAAGCCUUGUGCGGCUGAGGAUGGGCCCGCGGCCUAUCAGCUUGUUGGUGGGGUGAUGGCCUACCAAGGCGACGACGGGUAGCCGGCCUGAGAGGGCGACCGGCCACACUGGGACUGAGACACGGCCCAGACUCCUACGGGAGGCAGCAGUGGGGAAUCUUGCGCAAUGGGCGAAAGCCUGACGCAGCGACGCCGCGUGA